rnacentral:rRNA from 1 species
AACUUUCAACAACGGAUCUCUUGGUUCUGGCAUCGAUGAAGAACGCAGCGAAAUGCGAUAAGUAGUGUGAAUUGCAGAAUUCAGUGAAUCAUCGAAUCUUUGAACGCACAUUGCGCCCGCCAGCAUUCUGGCGGGCAUGCCUAUUCGAGCGUCAU